GCUCUGAGUCCAGUUGGAUAAAGAAAGCCCUGAAGGGUGCCAGGACUCUUCCACCCACUUCCAGCCCCGGCCCAUCUACCUGGGUCAGGUCCCUCUGGGAAGAACUGAGUAAAGGAGCUGGACUAAGGAUGGAAGGCCCUAGGGUGGAGUCCAUGGGAGUGACCUCUUUGAUUUUCAAAUGCCUGAUCAAGAGCAUCAAAGAACAGACCAAGAUCUUCUGCUGAAGAGGGAAGGAAUCUUGUGCUCCUUGGCUCAAGGUCAUCCUAUUACCAUCAACUUCUGACAUGAC